ensembl:lncRNA
CGCACAUUCAGGGUGUUGGUGUAAAGUCUGACCUUUCCCAGCGACGCAGUUUCCAGAGCCUGGUCUUCUGGCCCCGGGGCUAACUUCCUGGUCAGCGCUCCGUGCCAGCCUCCCACGCCAGCACCUGCCGCCUGGCUAUGUGCUGGAAAACAGAAGCGCUGUGGCGGGGCAGUGGUGUUCUCCGAAAACGCGUGCCCACUUGGAAGCUGUGAUGGAAUUCGGGUCUUUGAGGCUGGGGUUGGUGGGGAUCCUGAGAUGCCGUCCAGGGGAGUCGCCAAUCCCGGGACGGAGUGUCCUGAGAAGGGACGGAUGGGAAGACAGGCCCCCGGAGGCCCCUGUGAGGAUGGAGGUAGAGUUGGGGGUGAGGUGGCCACAAGCCAAGGAAGCCUGGAGCCCCCCCACGUGGGACCCGGCAGGAAGGGUCCUCCCCCAGAGCCCAGAGACAAGCGCUUCUCUGAUUGGCUGACGGCAACUUCUUCCGCCCCGCCUGCCUUGUGGAUCAGAAGCAUCUCCGGUGAUGCAGCCGGAACGGGACACUGCGGGGACAACCUCAAGGCAGGUUGGAUAAGACCCGGCCCCACAGACAGAGUGCGUCUCUCAAAAUUGCGUUGUCUCAUCUGGGGAGUUUCAUUGUCUGACCGUGUCCGGCAGGCCCCGAAGGCGUCCGUGGGUGGAGCCACCUCACCUGCUGAGCCCCAUCGGAGGACGCGUCUCCAUCCAGUUUUGCUUGGUCUCCUCUUGAGCCUGGGGGCUCCCCACCCAGAUCAGCACGACGAUGCCAGGAAGCGAGGGCCACGCCCUGGAGACCAGCCCUCGGCUGAAGUGGUUCCUGGCCCCCUCCUCCCUGGCGGACCUGGCCACUCCGUCACCCUGGACCCAGAUGCCCUUCAGACCCGCACUGCGUGUCAACACAUCUCCAGCCCUCAGGGGUCCCGCGGGGCCUCAGAGACCCUCCAGCCCCGCCGAGCCGACACAGGCGAGGUGCUCAGGGAGCCUCUCCUGGAGUUGGUUGCACCCUGGGCAUGGGUACGCCCUGUGCUGUAGGGUGACGCCCGGGCCCCUGCCCGUAUCCUCCGCC